rnacentral:rRNA from 1 species
UUUUCGGAGAGUUUGAUCCUGGCUCAGAACGAACGCUGGCGGCGUGCCUCAUACAUGCAAGUCGAGCGAGAAAGUUUCCUUCGGGGAAUAAGUAAAGCGGCAAACGGGUGAGUAACACGUGGGGAACCCACCCUCGGGUUGGGGACAAUCCCUCGAAAGAGGGUCUAAUACCGAAUAACGUCAUUUGAUCGCAUGGUUGAGUGACCAAAGUAUUUAUACGCCUGAGGACGGCCCCGCGCCCCAUUAGCCUGUUGGUAGGGUAACGGCCUACCAAAGCUUCGAUGGGUAGCCGGCCUGAGAGGGUGAUCGGCCACACUGGGACUGAGAUACGGCCCAGACUCCUACGGGAGGCAGCAGUAGGGAAUAUUGCGCAAUGGCCUAACGGCUGACGCAGCAACGCCGCGUGGAUGACGAAGCUUUUCGGAGUGUAAAAUCCUUUCAGUGGGGAAGAAUGUGUCUUCGGACGCUUGACGGUACCCACAGAAGAAGCACCGGCUAACUCCGUGCCAGCAGCCGCGGUAAUACGGGGGGUGCAAGCGUUGUUCGGAUUUACUGGGCGUAAAGCGCACGCAGGCGGGCUGUCAAGUCGGAUGUGAAAACCAGGAGCUUAACUCCUGGCCUGCAUACGAUACUGGCAGUCUUGAGUACCGGAGAGGAUGGCGGAAUUCCUGGUGUAGCGGUGAAAUGCGUAGAUAUCAGGAAGAACACCGGUGGCGAAGGCGGCCAUCUGGACGGAUACUGACGCUCAGGUGCGAAGGCUAGGGGAGCAAACAGGAUUAGAUACCCUGGUAGUCCUAGCGGUAAACGAUGGGCACUAGGUGUUGGUGGUGUCGACUCCACCAGUGCCGCAGCUAACGCAUUAAGUGCCCCGCCUGGGGAGUACGGCCGCAAGGCUGAAACUCAAAGGAAUUGACGGGGGCCCGCACAAGCGGUGGAGUAUGUGGUUUAAUUCGAUGCAACGCGAAGAACCUUACCUGGGUUGGAAACCCCUGGAAUCCCGCAGAGAUGUGGGAGUGCUCUUUUAGAGAAUCAGGUGUCCAGGUGCUGCAUGGUUGUCGUCAGCUCGUGUCGUGAGAUGUUGGGUUAAGUCCCGCAACGAGCGCAACCCCUGUUGUUAGUUGCCAGCGAUUCGGUCGGGCACUCUAACGAGACUGCCGGUGGUAAGCCGGAGGAAGGUGGGGAUGACGUCAAAU